rnacentral:rRNA from 1 species
CCUAACACAUGCAAGUCGAGCGGUAGCACAGAGAGCUUGCUCUCGGGUGACGAGCGGCGGACGGGUGAGUAAUGUCUGGGAAACUGCCUGAUGGAGGGGGAUAACUACUGGAAACGGUAGCUAAUACCGCAUAACGUCGCAAGACCAAAGUGGGGGACCUUCGGGCCUCAUGCCAUCAGAUGUGCCCAGAUGGGAUUAGCUAGUAGGUGGGGUAACGGCUCACCUAGGCGACGAUCCCUAGCUGGUCUGAGAGGAUGACCAGCCACACUGGAACUGAGACACGGUCCAGACUCCUACGGGAGGCAGCAGUGGGGAAUAUUGCACAAUGGGCGCAAGCCUGAUGCAGCCAUGCCGCGUGUGUGAAGAAGGCCU